ensembl:lncRNA
AGCCCCACUUUUCUCCUAAAUCAAACUUUUUCGACCUCAGUAACCCAAUUUAGCCCCCCAAAUCCCCAUUUCUCACCCAGAAAUCACUUUUAAACAAGAUCACCAAUUUAACCCCCAAAAGUGCCCGUUUUUAACCUCACAAAUCCCCUCUUCUCACCAAAAUCCCCCUUUUCCCCACAAAAUCCCAUCUGUUGAACCCCAGAAUUCCCAUUUCUCAGCACAAAUCUUCAUCUCAAACCCACAUAUCCCUAUUUUUAAAACACCAAACCUCCAUUUUACACCCCAAAAGCCCCACUUUUCUCCAAAUUCUGCCUUUUUCCACCCAAAUAUCCAUAUUUUAACCCCUAAAUGCCCAUUUUCGCCCACAAAAUCCCAAUUUAACCCCCAAAAUCCCCAUUUCUCAACCCAAAUCCCUGUUGUACACCCACAAAUCCUCAUUUUUAAUUGGGGCAAAGCCCAGCUCCGUAGCCAUGGUGGUGUUUUUCCGGGAUGUUUGCGUGUGCCUGUGUCGAUAAUUCUCUGGGCAAGGAGCUUGCCCACAGAGGUUGUGAAGAGGAUGGUCUGGAGCCUGACAUGUCUUCUCAUUCAUUUGCAGAGAUUGUGGCGAUCUGGGAUGCGGUGUCUGAUUAUAUCCUGGAGCAGAUGAAGCUGGACAAGGACUCGGGGUCUUUGCUGUGAUCCAAGAGCAAUUCCACAGCAAAGAAGAGGCGGUUUCGGUUCGAAGACCUGUCUUCCAGAUGGACCUCGGUGUGCUGUGGCUGGAGGACGUCCAGUCUCCCAACGAGAUUGUCCCUGACUGUGUCAAGAUUGAGCCGCUGAACUACCGGCAGCUAGCGCGAGCCACCGCCUUCCCGCUGCACGUGGUGCAGCUCUGUGUGCAAGAGACCAUCCUCUUGUACUGCCACUUCCUGAAGAACAAGGUGCACAUCUCGUUCGCCUUCAAGCACUUGCGCGUUCUGACGUGCAAAGAUGACUUCCUCUGCAUGAGGUUCUACUACAACUGCAUUGCUAUGCUGGAGAGCAAUGCAAGACCGAUUGCAGCACUCCACAGCAGAAUUUGGCCGGAACAUUCUGCUGACUUCAGCCCAGAAACCACCGCUCACGGGAUCCAGGUGUUCCCGAGGUUUCAGCUCACCGUGAAAAAGAGUAGAGCAGAGGCCACCUCCAACGACGAAGCCGCGGGCGAGGACAAAAUCAGCAGAGGUGAGGGAACGGGUCCCUGCUGUGCGGAGGUGGGCCCUGUCCCGUGCCGGGUCACCAGAUCCAGGUUUGUGUCCCGUGCCCAUGGAGCUGCUCUGAAGAGGUUCUUCCUUCCCUAGUUCCAGGGGGCCCUGCUAUCAGGCUGCUGCAGAGGCCGAAGACGCUUCCCCUCUCCAUGCUGCUGAGCUGCGAGCCAGGCACGAGGCAGCAGGAUGCAGCCAAGAAGCCUUCUGCCAGGUGAGAGCCUUGGGUGAAAAGAGGAAGGAGAUGCGUGAGCUCAUGUCGGAGUCACCUCCCCUUUGGACCUGCCAGCUCUCGGGACUCAGAAAGCCUCCUGACACACAUGCGUCCCAGUGGGGACCGUUCUCUCAAGGGAUGGCAAGUGCACAGCAUGAUUGCCCGAGGCAGACACGCCAGCUUCAUUUUCCACCC